AUUCUGGUUAUUUUUGUGAUCCUGUUGUUUCUCUUUUUGUUCUGCUGCAUCCAACCAAAAGGAAUCUUAUAUCUAUACUGCAUUCAGAUCUUAAUCUUUUGCUGAAAUUGCGUGUAGUUGGUUUUAUACUUGGGCAUCGUUUUUUUAUACCUUUUAGCUAAGGAAAUAGGGAAAAGAAGAGAAAAUUGAAAAUUGAGUUUUAGAUUUUUGAUAAUUUGAUCCGAGAGCAUCUAAAACUUCCGAUAAUGGUUGCCUAGUUCUAUCAUUUGACUGAGGCGAGUUUAACUUUGUGCAAUUGGAGACCAUAUAAAAUUUCAUUUUUCAAGUUAGCUUUCUCAUAAACCUCUUUCAUGGUACUUGUAAGUGGGUUUUUGUUCUUAAAUUUGGUGUUGGGAGUUGAAAUUUUCUAAAUUGAUUGAUUGUUAGGCAUUUGUAUUUCUCAGGUCAGUUUGAGUGCGUUUGCA
rnacentral:misc_RNA from 1 species